UGCCAGACAUCUUGCAAUGGGGAGUGGAGGGGGGAGGGCAAGAAAACUAGUGGUUAAAUGGGAGGACGGAAUGGGAGAAAAUAUGAUUGUACUCCUAGCCACCCAGACGGCAUUCUUCUCUGACACAUUUGUGAUAUGGAUCUCAGCCCAGAGGAAAGUCCAGGAUGAGAAGCCAGGCAUGGUGCCUCACCACAGGAAGCCCCAAUCCAGAAGUAGGAGCCUAAAAUAACAAGCAAGUGUGUGAAAACUGGCACGUCGUAGGCACUCAGUACACAGCCCUGGAAGACGAGUGUCACUGAUGAGGAGGUUUAGGGCCACCAAUAAGGUUUGGAACUUGUACAUAUAGAGUGGAUUUAAUUACCUGGAAAGUCAUUGAAGUUAGAAUGAAAUAAGAUUGGGAAGGCUUCCCUUAUAUCUGCAGUUCAUAUUUUUAGGGACUUCAACCCUCUAUAAGUUGGCCAGAGACUGAGAAGUAAACCCAGCAGGCUUUUAUAUAUCAGGAAUAACUGCUACAAAGCAAAUGCACCAAAACCCGGCAAAAAAUGCCACUGCGCCAAAGUGUCCCAAACUGAUCUUUUGGAUAUGAGUCUCAAGAGAUUUUCUGAAUGCAAAGGAUUUCACGGUCAAAGAUGGAUGGGAACACAGCACACUAUUUGCAUAUUUAAGCUCACAGAAAUUUUUAAAAAGAUCACUUUUAGAAUUCAAGACUGGGACCUCAUAAAGGAACUGAAAUAAAAAAAAAUCAAUUUGGAAUCUGUGUCAUAGAUUAUUCAUUGGAGGCCUUGCUACACAAGUAGCCAGAAGACAGACUUUCCAAUUCCAGACUUUAGCAUAUCAGCUUGUCACCUGGGCUAAGUCUCAAUUGCCUGAAACCUCAGUUUCCCUAAAGAGACACUAAGGAUAAUAAUAUAACCAAAAGAAGACUCAACAAGCUAAUGAAUGUAAAAGCCAUUUAAAAAGUGUAAAAUAUUCCCUGUCGGUGUUGCUGGUCUGUUAAAUAGUUUACUAGCAGUUUAUAUUAACAUAACUAGUAGUUAUUUUAACUACUAUAGCCCAGAUUCAAUUAUUAUUCAUAUUAAUUGCCCCAGAGCUACUACUAAUAUGCUAAUCGUGAUAAUUAACCGAUGCUGUGCUUGAUGCAUUUCAGCACCAGAUUUUGUUCUGCUAAACUUGGGGUUUUGCUUGGAGGGGAGAAUAGCAGUGCUGGCCUUCGGGCCGUGCCAGGAAAAUGUGUGGGCCAGAUGGCAAUCCAAGUUGGUCUGAUAGAACAUUUCUAUUUCUGUGGAUUCUCAAAAAUGAACUGACAGGCACGAAGCAAAGUGGUGACUCAUAGCCUUCAGGCCCCUGACUUACAGCUUCUGAGCUGAAAUUUCCUAUUGUCCUGUGAAACCUAUUUAUGGAACGCUACAACUGGCCCCUUUUGUCCCCACCGUCAUCAGUGUGGUCAUGGCGAUCACAGCCGACCUUCCCUGAGCACCAAGUGUGUGUGCCUGGACCCAUUUGAUGGUCUAUUUAAAUAGACCAUCUUAGGCUCUGUCACUACCGCAUGAUGCACAGGUCUGAACUGCCAAUCUUCAGAUGCAGACUCAGCCGGUCAAGGAGACUAAAGGACUCACCCACAAUCACAUAGGGCAAAGGGUGGCAUUGAGAUCUGAGUCCAAAACAUCUCCAUUUCUUUUCUUCUAUGUGAUAUUGUAUUUCCAAUCGAAAGUAUCUCAAGGUUCAUAACCCUCCUGUGGGCGGUCACUACUGUGUGUGCCUGUGUGGGCAUACACGUAAGCAUGUAUUUUAAGUCCACUCCCCAGGGGAAAUAUGAUACUACUGGCCUGGCAUAGAACAUCCAUUGGAAAAGUGCUUGCUGGCUUGAAUUUCCAACAAGUCCAAAACUUGGUCCACAGCUAUGCUCUUUACCUUUGUAAAUUGAUUGAGUACCAAUAUUGGACCCCGCUUCUCAGUGUAUCAAUAUAGAUAUGGGGCCUUGAACAGACCCGUCACUGACAAAAUAGGCUGAGAAUCUAGACCUUCUGACUCUAGGGCCAACAUUUCACAUACUACACCUUAAAUAUGGGGAAAUCCAUUUGUUCUUUGUCACUCUUCCUUUUUCAUCUUCUGUUGCUGAUGAAUAAACGAUCAUUUAAGGAAAAGAAGACGUAUCUACACGUUACACCCAUCUUUGUCAUCACUAUCAAAAACAUGAAGGCAAUGGCAAAACCCUGAGUUUCUCAAGUUUUAUUUUUGUAUGAGCUUGCAUUGCACUGAGGAUGGACCACAUAGCUGGAGCUCACAUGGCCAUGGGGCUUUGUAUCCAAUCCCCAGCCUCAGACAGGCAUCCAAGGCCAUCAGAGUAGAUGGUGCGGUGAAUGCUAAGCAUAGCCAUUUUUAGUCCAGUAUACUCGACUACAGGGAUAGUCAAGUAUUAUUUUGUAUUUCAUUUUUGAAGGGAUCAACUUUUUACGAUAUGUACGGGGCUUUCUUUACCAAAUGAACAUUCCAUUAAAAAAUAUUAUCAAAUUAAUAGCAUAACAAGUUUUUAGGGGAGGUUUAUUGGAGUCAAAUAUUUUUUAAAAGCUGUCAUUGAAACAGACAUAGUUGUUAAAUUGAGGAGAUAAUUAGGUACCUGAAAUUAA